ensembl:lncRNA
CUUUAUUUUUGUUGUUUUUGUUGUUUUUUGGUUUUUUUUUACGCCAUCCGUCUCCUGCGCUGCUUUUGCAGCAUCGCGUUUUGCUCGCUUGAAUUAAUGAUCGCGUUGUAGGGUUAGGGAAAAUAACGAGUGUUUAAAAGUUUAUACUGAGUCAUUCCUCUGCAGAUGAACCUAUGACUGACUCAUAAUCUGAGAACUGCAGUGGCUUGUAAAAUAGGAAGUAGUAAAUGUGGGAAGUUCCGAUGAUACAAUUGGAAAUUUGCAGUCUCCUUGGGUCAGGGACUUCACUAGCGUGCUGAGAUCUAUCAGAGUCCUGUGCAUUGUGGUAUGCGUGCUUUUAUUCUCCAGUAGAGCUGUGUAUUUUUUCGCUGUUGGUUCGUCCCACGGAAUGCGUGUGGCAAUGCUGUGCACUAAUCUCAACUUGCAUUCAUAGACCAGAACGGAGCUCGGUGUGUGAUGUAAAGGCACGUUGGCUGG